rnacentral:rRNA from 1 species
GACGAACGCUGGCGGCGUGCUUAACACAUGCAAGUCGAGCGGUAAGGCCCUUUCGGGGGUACACGAGCGGCGAACGGGUGAGUAACACGUGGGUGACCUGCCCUCAGCUCUGGGAUAAGCCCGGGAAACUGGGUCUAAUACUGGAUAUGACUCCAUGACGCAUGUUGUGGGGUGGAAAGCCUUGUGCGGCUGAGGAUGGGCCCGCGGCCUAUCAGCUUGUUGGGGGGUGAUGGCCUACCAAGGCGACGACGGGUAGCCGGCCUGAGAGGGCGACCGGCCACACUGGGACUGAGACACGGCCCAGACUCCUAC